ACAGUCACAUCAUGUUGAAACACCGGUUCCCAUAUGAUCAUCAAAGUUAAGCAACAUCAAGCUUGAUCAGGACCUAGAUGGGUGACUGCUUGAGAAUAGCAGGUGCUGUAAG